GCUGCGCGGCGGCCUCCUCGGCUGCCACCCUGCCGCUGUCCAGCUCCAGGCGCUGAGGCGGCCCGGGUUGGUCCAGGGACCCGCCGUCCUUACGGGGUGCCGUGGCGGGUCUCCUCCUGGGUGCCUACAGUGACUCCGAGUGGGGCUGUGAGUGGGUCAGAUGGCAGGCCUGCCCCUGCUGUGUGCACCCAGCUCCGCGUGCCUGUUCGGCGGGGAGGAGCCGCGGAAGCCGGGGCAGCCGUGACUGCACCAGGAAGAACAGCUCAGGCGUGGGCACGUGGGCUGUGAGCCCAGCCGAGAUCGCUGCCAGCACAGAGGUCCAAUCCACCCCGCGUCAGGGCCUGGACCAUGGGCCUGAGGUGUGGGUGGGGGAGAUGCCAAGACCAGAAGGAGGCAUCGUUCUAAACGCUUCGCCAACCUUAACUCGGGGCACUGUCGUGACAGCCUGUGCUGCGUUCACUAUCAGUAUCCCCCACACACAGGCUGAGGGACCCAGGCCAGAGGCCCUGCUCCCUGUCCAGUCUCACACAUAAAGUAAGCUGCUGAGCUGCGGACAGAAGCUGAGAUUGCCUUGUUCCAUGAUGCUGUAAAGCCCAGGUGGAAUCCUUGAAGCUGGAGUCAGGACUGCCGGGCUUGCGGAGACGUGGGCUCCCCAGGAAGUGCUGAGCCCAUGAUCAGAGCUGCACCCCCACAAGAAGUCACCAUGUGGAUCCCCAGAGGGGAUACUCCGGAAGUGCUUCCAUUCGGCCACCAGCAGCUGUGAUGUCCCCUGACCGUGCAUCCUGGGUCCCAGGGGAUGGUGGGUAGGGGAGCCAGGCGAGGAAGUGAGUCACAGCCCUGUGGGGUGAGCUCCCCGAGGGGAAGGGAUUGCGUAGAGUACUUGGGGGAAUUUGUGAGCCUUCAAGCUGGCCUCUGCUGCGACAGGGGCCAGCAGCCUCGUCCGCUCUGUAGUCCACUCCGGCUGCUCCCUGUAGCCAGGGGUGCGGCAUGGCAGGAACAGGCCACAGGGCAAGGGAGGAGUGUGGUGGGCUCAGAAGGCUCUGGGGAGAGGGUGCCUUGCUCCUGGUGCUGAAAGGACAGCGCCCGGCUUGGGCAGAGGCCGCGCCAAGUCCUGGCGGAAGCUUUUCCGCAAACUGGAGUGGGGCGUCAUGUGCAUCUGAAUUUUUCCACUCCUCUUCUCUGGAGCCUGUCAGUGCCGUCUUGGCAAAGAUGGUUUGAGCCUGAAAGCUUUUCCCAUCUAUUUUUAAAUAAAUGGAAUUCCUGUCACUUGCAU
rnacentral:lncRNA from 1 species